GCAAAAGGUGCAUCAACUCUGGACUUCAUCGUUCCAUGGUCACCAGUCAAAGAUACCACAAAAGCUAGCAGUUCAAAGGUGUGCACCGCCCAUCCCUUGUCCUUUCCUUAAAACUAAGAGGUACCUAGCCAAAAUCUUCAUCCACCAUGGCAUCUACUGUCUCCUCCCAAACACCAACCAGCCUCCUAUUCUAACAUGUCACCAUCUCAUUGGUCAACAAGUUGGUGGAGCCCAGAACGCACCAAUCACAGACUGGCAGCUACAACAACAAAGGCCAGUCGCUCUCCAAGAACAGACAGCUAAUCCAUGAGCCUUGCCCAUAGUUGGCGGAGAAGGGCAGUUGGUGGAUUC
rnacentral:lncRNA from 1 species